AGACUAGAGGGAGACAGACAGCGCCCAACACCUCUGACAGUCAUGUGAUCUCAGACGAGCACCUCCUCAAUCCAGCAGUCACCGCUCACCCUGGACACCCACCCGGCAGCUACACUGCCGGCGCCCCUGUAGGUCCCAUCGGCCAGCCUUACCUGGCCGACCUUCGCCCUCCCCUGACCAAUGGGAGCCACACACCCCUAUCCCAGAAUCCUUUGCCCCAUACGGCCGUACUGUCCAAUGGACCAGGGAGACCCACAGUUAUAGGAACACUCAAUGCGGGACCACCUAAAAAGAGACACAAAGGCUGGUCUCCAGAGUCUUCUGCUGUGAAGACCCCCCCAGCUUCCUCCUCCUCUUCCUCAUCGCUCACCAAUGUUGCCA